rnacentral:tRNA from 1 species
UCUUCCGUAGCUCAACAGGUAGAGCGUGUGGCUGUUAACCAUAAGGUCGUAGGUUCGAAUCCUACCGGAAGAG